AUGAAAAUAAUAAGCUGGAAUUGUCGGGGACUUGGGAAUGGCCCGACAGUUCGGUCUCUCCUCGAAAUGGGGAGGAUGGAGGAGCCCGUCGUUCUAUUUUUAUGUGAAACUAGGCUGGAGGAGAAGGAGUUGGAGAGGUUUCGGUGGCUUCUUGGCCUUACUAACAUGUUGGCUUGGAAGGCGGAGGGGAGGAGUAGAGGGGUUGUGUUGUUCUGGAAGAAGGGGAUUAAUGCUACUCUAAGAUCGUUUGGAAGACGGCAUGUAGACGUGGACAUUACAGAGGAAGGGGGGCUAAUUUGGCGGCUGACAGGGGUGUACGGGGAGUCCGAGUUGGCUAGGAAAAAAGAAACAUGGAGAACCCUACGUCUACUGAAGCAGCAACACCAAGACGGACGACCAUGGCUCUGCCUUUAA
rnacentral:rRNA from 1 species